CGGCAGAUGCCGUCAGGGCACACCACCACCACAGCCACUCCCGCCAUGAUUCUCACACGACAGUCAGCCUCAUCUAUAAACUGAAAGAGAUGCAGCAACCAGUGUAAGUAGCGCUGCCAAGGGAGCCAUCGUCCAGGCGCGUCGCCGUCCUGGCAUCCUGAGCGUGAAAUAUCGCUCCUUGUAUCAUCACCCUGGUAGCGGCGGCGAGGCGGGACCUUACACAUCAUGAGGCGCCGACCCACACACCUGCCCCCGUGUCGUGAGAACAGAGCCACGCAUCGCCGCAGCAGCAGACCGUGCUAAACACUCCGGGCACCAAGAACUGAUCCGGCCCACCGAGCAUCAGUUCCACUCGCCUUCAAUCUCAAGUCUUCGAGGUAAGAAAACUUCUCCUUUGACAUACAUAAUCUGUUUGCCAUCGACUGUGGUUAAGGAAUUCUUAGUGUGCUGUCUCUGUCCAGGAAAAGAUGCCCUGCUUUGCCUGACCGUCCUCAGCCAUAACCUUAUCUCUGGCGUUACUUAUUGACGCGCUGCCCAGUCCACUUACAACAACUUAGGUAUGCAAACCUCCCUCUUGUGGUCAGCUCGUCAACACGGUGAUGAUAGCGUGUUCUCGUCAGGGGAGGAAGCAACCAUUCAUUACAGCAUUGGUUAUUUUGCAACGCCCAUCUACCUGAUUUUCUCUCUCUCUCUC